rnacentral:rRNA from 1 species
GAGUUUGAUCGUGACUCAGGAUGAACGCUAGCGGCAGGCUUAAUACAUGCAAGUCGAGGGGCAUCAGCUUAUAGCAAUAUAGGGCUGGCGACCGGCAAACGGGUGCGGAACACGUACACAACCUUCCUUUAAGAGGGGGAUAGCCCAUAGAAAUGUGGAUUAAUACCCCGUAAGAUAGUGGGAUGGCAUCAUACUACUAUUAUAGUUACGACGCUUGAAGAUGGGUGUGCGUCUGAUUAGGUAGUUGGCGGGGUAAAGGCCCACCAAGCCUUCGAUCAGUAGCUGAUGUGAGAGCAUGAUCAGCCACACGGGCACUGAGACACGGGCCCGACUCCUACGGGAGGCAGCAGUAAGGAAUAUUGGUCAAUGGACGCAAGUCUGAACCAGCCAUGCCGCGUGAAGGAUGAAGGUCCUCUGGAUUGUAAACUUCUUUAUAGGGGGCGAAAAAAGGGAAUCUUUCUCACUUGACAGUACCCUAUGAAUAAGCACCGGCUAACUCCGUGCCAGCCG